CCACAUUCCAGAUCCAGACCCGAGCUAUCUUCGCAUCCCAGCCUCAUCUCAAAUCCCUAGCCGCCACCAGCAGCGGCGCCCCAAAUUCCUCGUCGUCGCCAGCCGGCUGCCGGCCCAAUCCCACCUCGCCGGAUGCGCCGCAGAUCUAUCGCCGCCGGAUGCACCUCCCUCUCGCCCGCUCCCUCCCACCAUAUUCGCUUGGUGACGACCAAGAACGGCCGCCUACAAAUGUUGUCGUCAACCUUCCCACUACCUCCGGAUGAUUGUCACCGUCAACGUGCCCGCCGCUGCCGUCACUCGACCGCCAUCGCAUCCUUAUCUGAGUGCCACCCUUCCCAUCCAGGUUUACAGGACUUCUCAGAAACAUCACUUAUUACGAGGAACAAAGAAGAGUUGAGCUAUUGAUUGUCAAGUACCAUUGGAUGGCUAGUAUGCUCAAGAUCAUCUGGUAUGUUUUGAGCCAAUAACUGCUAUGUUUGUUCAGUCUGAAUGUUCCUUUACAUUCUAUUUUCUUCUUAUGAUUUACAGUAACAGUUUGCUCUCUAACUUGUUUAUCCAUCCCUUUGGAUUUUAGUCUCUUUAAUUAUGUUAGGAUUUAGGAAGAAUUGAGAGAACAUCAUCAGUGCAAAAUAGAGGUUAAAGCAGGAGGUUGAGGUGGGCAGUCCAUGCCAACAAAUUAAAUAAUAUUCUUCCAGAUGAAGUGGUACUAUUCCCCUCCAUAUUUUGUUGUUGUACGCACAUGAACCUAGAAAUUAAAUAUUGGUCAGCACCUAUUUGAGGUCUGAUUUUUCUAGUUUGCAGUUCGUCUUGAUUGGGAAAAAAUAAUGGAUUCUGGAUGUACCGCCAGAGGCUUUGUUGUAAUCAAGAUAAUUUUACUUUUGUUUCCACCCUCAUCUCCAAAAUUUUAUCAUCAAUUGUCAGUCAAGUUGUCUAGUGUAUAUUACCAAACCAUGCUUUGUCCAGUGUUCUCAAUAUCAUGAGAUCAAAAUUAUUGAGCGAGUAGUUGCUAUGUUUGUUUAGUCUGAACAUGUCCUUUUUCUAUUUCUGUGGUAUCUUUUAUUGUUUCACUAUGCAGAACCGUAAAAAUGUGUUCUCUAGUUUUGUUUGUCCAUACCUUUUCGUUACACCGAUCAACGCAGCUAGUAGCGGAGGUUAAGUCUCUGCCACUCCUUGAUUUGUUAGCGGUGCUGCUAAUUUGUAUCCAGCACUCAGAUUAGUUGAUAAAGAUAUCUUUAUUUUCAGGAGAGGUUUGCAUGAUGUGAAUAUUUCUGCAUGAGGGGAGAAGAAUCUGCAAGACAACACAGGAAGCAAUGAGCAGCUGCAUGGCAAGUACAAGGUAGAUUAUCUGUACAACAAGGAAAGGCUGCAAGAAGAAGUUGAGGUUAUCAAUCAAGGCAAGAAAUUCUACAUAUUCUUCUGAAUGAAGAGAUGUCGUUCCCUGUUGUUACAUUAUCAAAUAAUUGCAUAAUGCUUUGUUUUUUAUUAUUAUGGAGGAAAUGACGAAUCUGCCCUUUUUUUGGAAAUCUGAAAUGGAUAUACUUAACUCCCUGUCAUUAUACAAUACUUGCAAGAAGCCCCUAAUAACUUAUCUACUCAGGCUGUUAGCUGAUAGUUUUUUCCAACUAAUCGAGAAACUCAGGUUGUCAUUUAAUGGAUUUUGUCAGUUGCAUGGUCUGUAUCAAGUCUGGGAUAUGAUGCUAGAACAAAUAACUCCGUUGUUUUGUCCUGUAAAAUUCGGUAACUUUGAUCUGCCAAAAACAGGUGGGAUAUAUAUGCCAAUGUUAUUGCGAGAAACUGAGAUAUCAAAUAGAUUAUGCUAAUUUUAUCUUAUAAAUAUUGUUCCUAUUUCUUGUCACAUUUUUUCAAGUUCAAUUAUAUCCA